CGGCGGACGGGUGAGUAAGCGUGGGUAACCUGCCUCAUACAGGGGGAUAACAGUUAGAAAUGACUGCUAAUACCGCAUAAGACCACGGUACCGCAUGGUACAGUGGUAAAAACUCCGGUGGUAUGAGAUGGACCCGCGUCUGAUUAGGUAGUUGGUGGGGUAACGGCCUACCAAGCCGACGAUCAGUAGCCGACCUGAGAGGGUGACCGGCCACAUUGGGACUGAGACACGGCCCAG
rnacentral:rRNA from 1 species